CCAUAGCGUAUAUUAAAGUUGUUGCAGUUAAAAAGCUCGUAGUUGGAUUUGUGGCGUACGGUGUGUUCCGGGCACUUGUUGUCUGAGUAACCUGCUGUUGCCAUCCUUGGGUGGAACCUGUGUGGCAUUAGGUUGUCGUGCAGGGGAUGCCCAUCAUUUACUGUGAAAAAAUUAGAGUGUUCAAAGCAGGCUUAUGCCGUUGAAUAUAUUAGCAUGGAAUAAUGAGAUAGGACUUUUUUGCUAUUUUGUUGGUUUGCGCAAAGAGGUAAUGAUUAAUAGGGACAGUUGGGGGUAUUCGUAUUCCAUUGUCAGAGGUGAAAUUCUUGGAUUUUUGGAAGACGAACUACUGCGAAAGCAUUUACCAAGGAUGUUUUCAUUAA
rnacentral:rRNA from 1 species